AGAACGAACGCUGGCGGCAGGCUUAGUAUGCGAGUCGAGCGAUGAGGCUCCUUCGGGAGUACAUCAGCGGCGGAUGGGUGAGUAACACGUGGGAACCUGCCCUAUAGUGGGGGAUAACAGUUGGAAACGACUGCUAAUACCGCAUACGCCCUACGGGGGAAAGAUUAUCGCUAUAGGAUGGGCCCGCGGCAGAUUAGCUUGUUGGUAAGGUAAUGGCUUACCAAGGCAAUGAUCUGUAGCUGGUUUGAGAGAAUGAUCAGCCACACUGGGACUGAGAUACGGCCCAGUCUCCUACGGGGGGCAGCAGUCUGGAAUAUUGGACAAUGGGGGAAACCCUGAUUCAGCCAUGUCGCGUGAGUGAAGAAGGCCUUCGGGUUGUAAAGCUCUUUCGCACGUGACGAUGAUGACGGUAACGUGAGAAGAAGCACCGGCUAACUUCGUGCCAGCAGCCGCGGUAAUACGAAGGGUGCUAGCGUUGUUCGGAUUUACUGGGCGUAAAGCGCAUGUAGGCUGUGUAUCAAGUCAGGGGUGAAAUCCUAAGGCUCAACCUUAGAACUGCCUUUGAGACUGAUAUACUAGAGUGCGGUAGAGGAUAGUGGAAUUCCCAGUGUAGGAGUGAAAUCCGUAGAUAUUGGGAGGAACACCAGUGGCGAAAGCGGCUAUCUGGACCGUAACUGACGCUGAGAUGCGAAAGCGUGGGUAGCAAACAGGAUUAGAUACCCUGGUAGUCCACGCCGUAAACGAUGAGUGCUAAUUGUUGGGAACGUAUAGUUUUCAGUGAUAAAGUUAACGCGCUAAGCACUCCGCCUGGGGAGUACGGCCGCAAGGUUAAAACUUGAAGGAAUUGACGGGGACCCGCACAAGCGGUGGAGCAUGUUGUUUAAUUCGAUGAUACGCGAAGAACCUUACCUACUCUUGACAUCCUGGUCGCGAUUUUGAGAAAUCAUUAUCUUCAGUUCGGCUGGACCAGUGACAGAUGGUGCAUGGUUGUCGUCAGCUCGUGUCGUGAGAUGUUGGGUUAAGUCCCGCAACGAGCGCAACCCUCGCUGUUAGUUGCCAACAGGUAAUGCUGGGAACUCUAACAGAACUGCCGGUGAUAAGCCGGAGGAAGGUGAGGAUGAUGUCAAAUCAGCAUGUCUCUUACGAGUAGGGCUACAAACGUGCUACAAUGGCAAUUACAAUGAGCAGCCACUUCGCAAGAAGGAGCUAAUCUUGUAAAAGUUGCCUCAGUUCAGAUUGUCCUCUGCAAUUCGAGGGCAUGAAGUUGGAAUCGCUAGUAAUCGCAGAUCAGAAUGCUGCGGUGAUACGUUCUAGGGUCUUGUACACACCGCCCGUCAUCUCAUGGAAGCUGGUUCUACCUGAAGCCGGUGGGCUAAUCUGGCAGCCGUCCACGGUAGGGUUAGUGACUGGGAGCAAGUCGUA
rnacentral:rRNA from 1 species